rnacentral:misc_RNA from 1 species
GAUGAAGAACGCGGCGAAAUGCGAUAAGUAAUGUGAAUUGCAGAAUUCAGUGAAUCAUCGAGUUUUUGAACGCAUAUUGCGCCCUCUGGUAUUCCGGGGGGCAUGCCUGUUCGAGCGUCAUUAAAUAACCCUCAAGCAUAGCUUGGUGUUGGGCUUUUUUACGUCCUUGACUGGGAUGGGCCUAAAAAUUAGUGGCGAUGGCUUUUUUACUUUCAAGCGUAGUAAAUCUCGUCUUGCUAAAGAGGAAAAAGAUUUUUUUUCUGCCAAAAAUUUUAACAUUUAAAGUUGACCUCGGAUCAGGUAGGAUUACCCGCUGAACUUAAGCAUAUCAAUAAGCGGAGGA